UCAAAUUUGCUAGGAUAUAUACCUACUAUAUACCCACAAAAAUUAAAAAAAAAAUUUAAUCUGCUGGAACAGUUGAAUUAUUUUAAAUUGUCAAGGAGAUACAUAAGGUAUUUGGUGAACUCUUGUUAACUCACUCUCAAUCCUUUGAAGGUUAUUGCAAGAAGUCCCUGUUUUGAGUUGUACUAAGUGAUGAAGUGAAGCUGUUAGAAGCUAGAAAGCCUAAGGCUUUUAGUUUAUGUGCAUAUUAUUGACAAAGAAAAAAAGUCAUUUUAUUGUGUACCUCUGAGUGAUUUUUCAGAGGUAGUAACAGUCUGCUCUGGAGCCUUUAACUAGGAAUUUCAGUAAUAAAUUCUUACAUCAAAAAAGGGCUAUUCUUGUUUUUUAAAAAGCAAAAACAGCCACCUAGUAAUAGAGAAGUAAAACCAUCUCCAGGUAGAAAUAGAAGGAUACUGUAUGUUUGCAACUCAACAAGACAAGACAGCCAAUGGUGGAAGUUGUAUGUUUCACCAUGCCUUCAUUAAACAGUUUGUUUAUCUGUUGCUAUCUCCAUCCUCCUGAGCUGAGCCUCACUCGCCCUUCCGAACUCUUAACAUCAAUGGGCAAAUCCCCACAGGAGAAGGAGUGAGUACUUUGUCCACAUGACCAAUUGUGAGAAUGGAGGGAAUAAAUGUUUUUAUAUAUUAAUAUUCUGUAUCUGAGAGAAAGCUUAGAGCUGAAAUUUGGAUUUGGGCGGUGGCUCACGCCUAUAAUCCCAGCACUUUGGGAGGCUGAGGUGGGCGGAUCACGAGGUCAGGAGUUCGAGACCAGCCUGGCCAGCAUGGUGAAACCCCAUCUCUACUAAAAAUACAAAAAUUAGCCGUGCAUGGUGGCACAUGCCUGUAAUCCCAGCUACUCAGGAGGCUGAGGUAUGAGAAUUGCUUGAACCUGGGAGGCGGAGAUUGCAGUGAGC
rnacentral:lncRNA from 1 species